rnacentral:tRNA from 1 species
ACUUAAGUAGCUUAUUUAUAGAGCAUAGUAUUGAAGAUACUAAGGAAGAUGGCUUAUCUCUUAAGUA